rnacentral:rRNA from 1 species
AUGGCCGAAGAAGUAGGUACAAGGAGGAGGAAUUACUGCACAUGGGAUGAUGAGAUGGAUGCUGCAUUGCUUGAAGUCUUAGUUGAGCAUCACAACAAGGGUGACCAUGCCCAAAAUGGAUGGAAACCACAUGUGUACAUGCAUGCCAUAAGGAAUGUGAAGGACAAGUGCAAUAAGGAUAUCACAAAGGAUAACAUAAGUGGAAGGAUGAGGACUUUGGAUCAUCACUAUGAGGUCGUUAGCAAAAUCCUUUCUCAAAGUGGUUUCGGCUGGGGUUGGACCAAUAAUAGGCUAUCAAUGGAUAGUAAUGAUGUUUGGGAUAAAUAUGUGGAGGCAAGCAAGGAGAUAAAGUCUUACAAGACCAAAGUAAUCAAGAACUGGGAGUCCAUAUGUAUCGUAUAUUCAAAAGAUCAUGCUAAUGGCGAGGGUGCGAAGACAGGUGCUGAGAUUGCUGCAGAGCCAUUAGAAGAACCAAUUGAAGUCUCUCCAGAAUUAGCGCCAAAGAGGCAGCGAACAGGUGAUGCUACUCUUUGCAUGCUUGGAGAUAUGAAGAAGGACUUAGUUGAUGCUUUCAAGACAACUGAGCCUAUUCCACCACCAAAGGUUACCACUGUUGGGGAACGUAGCAGAAUUUUCAAAUUUUCUACGCAUCACCAAGUUCAAUCUAUGGAGUCAUCUAGCAACGAGGGAGAGAGGAGUGCAUCUACAUACCCUUGUAGAUCACGAGCGGAAGCGUUCAAGAGAACAGGGAUGAUGGAGUCGUACUCGCCGUGA